AGCGAACGCUGGCGGCAGGCCUAACACAUGCAAGUCGAACGAACCUUUCGGGGUUAGUGGCGGACGGGUGAGUAACACGUGGGAACGUGCCUUUAGGUUCGGAAUAACUCAGGGAAACUUGUGCUAAUACCGAAUGUGCCCUUCGGGGGAAAGAUUUAUCGCCCUUAGAGCGGCCCGCGUCUGAUUAGCUAGUUGGUUGAGGUAAUGGCUCACCAAGGCGACGAUCAGUAGCUGGUCUGAGAGGAUGAUCAGCCACAUUGGGACUGAGACACGGCCCAAACUCCUACGGGAGGCAGCAGUGGGGAAUCUUGCGCAAUGGGCGAAAGGCUGACGCAGCCAUGCCGCGUGAAUGAUGAAGGUCUUAGGAUUGUAAAAUUCUUUCACCGGGGACGAUAAUGACGGUACCCGGAGAAGAAGCCCCGGCUAACUUCGUG
rnacentral:rRNA from 1 species